UCUUGCUGAUGUGUUAUGUUGGGCUUGUAACUGACAAAAAGCUUAAUUUUGGUUUCAUCAUAAUGUAGAACCUUCUCCCUCUUUGCCAGCAGUUUGCACCUGGUGUGAAAUAAUAUCCUCCCAUGACAACUACCUACCAUCUGGGAAAGACAAGUCAGACUUUCCAGAAUCCUGCCGCAUCAUGACAUCAUUCAUUUCAGCAGCUGCUGUGCUGCUCCUCAGCUGACCCUCUCCUCUGCACUCCAGACUUCUGGAACCCAGGUUCAAAGGAAAGACGCAGAGUGACGGCACCCAGGACCAGCUGAGAGAGGCAGUAAGUGCCAGUGGAGGACGGGUCAGAGGAGCAGUGCCACACAGAUGAAGUGGAGCCACAAGACUCAGUCACUCCACAGUAUUAACCAAAGACUGCAUUGGAAGAGAUCUGUUUGCUAAUGAAGACAGGGAGCGUAGGGUCAUCAUACAGCAGACUACCUUGUCUCCCAGUGAGCGUGUUGAUCAAGAACUUCAGUUCUACAAAGUCCUCCCUUCAAUCUCCAUGUCAGAAGAGCCUGCACUGUGGUAGAGGGAGAAGAAAGAUACUCUGCCCCUGCUUACACGGCUUACAACAACCUACUUCUGUGCCCAAACCUCCUCCAUCUCCAGUGAGAUGAGAACACUAUCAGUCAGGAGACAUCCAGACUUCUGCCAGAGAGAGAGAGAUAUAUUCAUCUUCCUGCAGAGGAACUGUUGAGGUAGUUUUCUAUGUUCUACAUUCUGUUUAAAGAAGUUAGAGUUUCACAUUUGUUUUUAGGAAGACAUUGUUGUGUAUACAGUACUCUGUCAAGGAAG